ACCAGACUCCUACGGGAGGCAGCAGUGAGGAAUAUUGGUCAAUGGGCUUAAGCCUGAACCAGCCAAGUCGCGUGAGGGAAGAAGGCCCUGCGGGUCGCAGACCUCUUUGGACGGGGAGCAAGGCCGCCGACGUGUCGGCGGAAGGAGAGUACCCGUAGAACAAGCAUCGGCUAACUACGUGCCAGCAGCCGCGGUAAUACGUAGGGAGCGAGCGUUGUCCGGAUUUACUGGGUGUAAAGGGUGCGUAGGCGGCUUGGCAAGUCAGUAGUGAAAUCCAUGGGCUUAACCCAUGAACUGCUAUUGAAACUGUCGAGCUUGAGUGAAGGAGAGGUAGGCGGAAUUCCCGGUGUAGCGGUGAAAUGCGUAGAGAUCGGGAGGAACACCAGUGGCGAAGGCGGCCUGCUGGACAUUAACUGCCGCUGAGGCGCGAAAGCGUGGGGAGCAAACAGGAUUAGAUACCCGCGUACA
rnacentral:rRNA from 1 species